CACUGGGACUGAGACACGGCCCCAGACUCCUACGGGAGGCAGCAGUAGGGAAUCUUCCGCAAUGGACGAAAGUCUGACGGAGCAACGCCGCGUGAGUGAUGAAGGUUUUCGGAUCGUAAAGCUCUGUUGUUAGGGAAGAACAAGUACCGUUCGAAUAGGGCGGUACCUUGACGGUACCUAACCAGAAAGCCACGGCUAACUACGUGCCAGCAGCCGCGGUAAUACGUAGGUGGCAAGCGUUGUCCGGAAUUAUUGGGCGUAAAGGGCUCGCAGGCGGUUUCUUAAGUCUGAUGUGAAAGCCCCCGGCUCAACCGGGGAGGGUCAUUGGAAACUGGGGAACUUGAGUGCAGAAGAGGAGAGUGGAAUUCCACGUGUAGCGGUGAAAUGCGUAGAGAUGUGGAGGAACACCAGUGGCGAAGGCGACUCUCUGGUCUGUAACUGACGCUGAGGAGCGAAAGCGUGGGGAGCGAACAGGAUUAGAUACCCUGGUAGUCCACGCCGUAAACGAUGAGUGCUAAGUGUUAGGGGGUUUCCGCCCCUUAGUGCUGCAGCUAACGCAUUAAGCACUCCGCCUGGGGAGUACGGUCGCAAGACUGAAACUCAAAGGAAUUGACGGGGGCCCGCACAAGCGGUGGAGCAUGUGGUUUAAUUCGAAGCAACGCGAAGAACCUUACCAGGUCUUGACAUCCUCUGACAAUCCUAGAGAUAGGACGUCCCCUUCGGGGGCAGAGUGACAGGUGGUGCAUGGUUGUCGUCAGCUCGUGUCGUGAGAUGUUGGGUUAAGUCCCGCAACGAGCGCAACCCUUGAUCUUAGUUGCCAGCAUUCAGUUGGGCACUCUAAGGUGACUGCCGGUGACAAACCGGAGGAAGGUGGGGAUGACGUCAAAUCAUCAUGCCCCUUAUGACCUGGGCUACACACGUGCUACAAUGGACAGAACAAAGGGCAGCGAAACCGCGAGGUUAAGCCAAUCCCACAAAUCUGUUCUCAGUUCGGAUCGCAGUCUGCAACUCGACUGC
rnacentral:rRNA from 1 species